AGUAAAAUGAAGGAUGAAAGAGAAAGAGUAAACAAAAUAAUUAGAAACCUCUGCCAAUUAAUCAAAAAAUUAGAAAAACACGGGCCAACCUAUUCUUUAUCCUUCUGCGUGAGCUUCAUCCUUCACCCUUCAGCGCUUUCAUCCUUCAACUUUCAGCCUUCAUCCUUCAAUGCAAACUCAUCAUUCAUCCUUCGACACAAAUCAGAUGAACAUCAUCCUUCAACGCGAACUCAUAUGAACUUCAGCUUUUAGUCUUCCUAAAUUUUGUUUUCACUCCCUUGUUGACAAUCAACAAGUAAAUUUUGUUUUCCUCUAAAUUAUGUUUUCACUCCCUCCUUCACAAUCAACACAUAAAUUUGUAUUUUCCUAAAUUUUGUUUUCCCCUAAAUUCUGUUUUCACUCACGCACGAACUCUGUAGCCUUUAGUGUUGGCGACGAAUUGGUCCAGCACAACGUUUUUCUACUUCUGCACUGACGACGAAUUUUCUUUAUCUUCCUCUGCCAUUUGUCGAGAAGCGUUUUUGUCGAGAAGUGUCAAUUUCUUUCACCAUCAAGAAGUGUGUGAGCAAGUGUUUGUUGCUUUCUCCGAUAAUUUUCUAAUAAUUCUUAUUUCUUACUUAGCAAUCUAAAAUUGUUUCAUUGUUAAUUGUUCUUAUUAUUAAUCUUAGAUUACCAAUUGUUUUUAUUAUUAAUCUUUAAUCUAAAGUUGCAGAGGAUGGAAAAAUUACUGACAAUUAUUGGCAGCAAGUGAAUGAGACAAAAGAAGAACAUCAAUCAGCAGAAGAACUACGCGUGAGAAAGCUUUACAGAAUUGAGCUAGUCGGCGUGGUUUUUGAUGACUAUCUUGUAGUUAUUAGAGGCACUAGGUGUAUAUUCUUGUAGAUUCAACUAUAUUAGUAAUUUUUGUUAUGUGAUUUUUUGUUAUGAUAUAAUUAACAUUUUCUACUAGAAUUUUAUUAACAGAAGAGCUAUUAGGACAUGAAGAGCAGUGAGAGUGAAUUCACAAUUAAAAUCUCAUGAAAGAUUUGUUAAUGCAUUUCUAAGAUAUUGCAAACUUGUUGAUAAUGCUAGAGUGUUUUGCACAAAUGGUGUUGGUGUUCCACCAUAGGGUUGACGAGGAACUUGUGGACCAGAAGAGAUAUCUCGAAGACUCUUGCAAACCAUAGUGUGUGAAACCAUUACUUGAAAAUCAAGUGUGAUUUCUUGAAUUGUAUAAUUAUUAGCUUGAUCGUUUGAAGAUGAGCUUUAUUCUUAA